rnacentral:rRNA from 1 species
UACGUAGGGGGCGAGCGUUGUCCGGAAUUAUUGGGCGUAAAGGGCGCGUAGGCGGCCUGCUAAGUCGAACGUGAAAUCCCCGGGCUCAACCCGGGAACUGCGUCCGAUACUGGUGGGCUUGAAUCCGGGAGAGGGAUGUGGAAUUCCAGGUGUAGCGGUGAAAUGCGUAGAUAUCUGGAGGAACACCGGUGGCGAAGGCGGCAUCCUGGACCGGUAUUGACGCUGAGGCGCGAAAGCUAGGGGAGCAAACGGG